CCUACGGGAGGCUGCAGUAGGGAAUCUUCCACAAUGGACGAAAGUCUGAUGGAGCAACGCCGCGUGAGUGAUGAAGGGUUUCGGCUCGUAAAACACUGUUGUACGGGAAGAAUGACAUUGAGAGUAACUGUUCAGUGUGUGACGAUAUCUUAACAGAAAGGAACAGCUAAAUACGUGCCAGCAGCCGCGGCAAUACGUAUGUUCCAAGCGUGAUCCGGAUUUAUUGGGCGUAAAGGGAGCGCAGGAGGUUGGUUAAGUCCGAAGUGAAAGCCCACAGCUUAACUGGGGAAGUGCUUUGGAAACUGGAUAACUUGAGUGCAGUAGAGGUGAGUGGAACUCGAUGUGUAGCGGUGAAAUGCGUAGAUAUAUGGAAGAACACCAGUGGCGAAGGCGGCUCUCUGGACUGUAACUGACGUUGAGGCUCGAAAGUGUGGGUAGCAAACAGGAUUAGAUACCCUUGUAGUC
rnacentral:rRNA from 1 species